AAUAGAUACCCUGGUAGUCCACGCCGUAAACGAUGAGUGCUAAGUGUUAGAGGGUUUCCGCCCUUUAGUGCUGCAGCUAACGCAUUAAGCACUCCGCCUGGGGAGUACGGUCGCAAGACUGAAACUCAAAGGAAUUGACGGGGGCCCGCACAAGCGGUGGAGCAUGUGGUUUAAUUCGAAGCAACGCGAAGAACCUUACCAGGUCUUGACAUCCUCUGACAACUCUAGAGAUAGAGCGUUCCCCUUCGGGGGACAGAGUGACAGGUGGUGCAUGGUUGUCGUCAGCUCGUGUCGUGAGAUGUUGGGUUAAGUCCCGCAACGAGCGCAACCCUUGAUCUUAGUUGCCAGCAUUAAGUUGGGCACUCUAAGGUGACUGCCGGUGACAAACCGGAGGAAGGUGGGGAUGACGUCAAAUCAUCAUGCCCCUUAUGACCUGGGCUACACACGUGCUACAAUGGAUGGUACAAAGGGCUGCAAGACCGCGAGGUCAAGCCAAUCCCAUAAAACCAUUCUCAGUUCGGAUUGUAGG
rnacentral:rRNA from 1 species